rnacentral:lncRNA from 1 species
GGGAACUGGUCGUUCUUUUGGUUUAAAACUAUGCGAAAUCAGAGACCCCCCCCCCCAUAUACCCCUUUCUCAUUCGUCUCUAUACUCUCCCACAAAAACUCUAGCCGCCCUUAUAACCCCUCACCAGCUCUGCCUCUCCCUGCCGCCCAAAAAUUGCCUUACGGCAACAGAGCAUCUCCAAACUACACCAAAUCAACACCAGACAAUCACCCUCUCCUCCUCUUUUCAUAUCUCAUAACCUUUCCUUUCAAAUAGAUCCAGAACCCCUCGAGUCUUAGAUCUAAGAUUCACAAAAACCUAAAUUUUUCCCUUUUUGAUUUUUCGGUUAAUUUCUGGGUUAUUUGAACCUAGGACUUCCAUUAGUAAACUUUUCUUGUUAAGAAAAAUUGAUUAAUGAUCAUCCAAGUCCACUUUUACCCCGUUAAAUUUUGUCUAAUUCAUAGAUGGUCCAGUCUAAAACGAGCCCUAGGUAAUUUAUUUUCUUUUCCAUUUUUCUUUUAUGAUGUUUUCUGUCGUUAUUUAGGUAAUGACAAUGUAUUCCCUUUUUGUUAGUAUUGUCUGUUCGUUCCAUUUUUUUGAUGUUAAUUGAAGCAUGCUGAAUGUUAUGACUAUUUUGAAGCUCAAUCUCGAUUGCAUCAGAUUUAGAUUAAUUAGGGUUUAAUUUUUAGAAAAUGCAUGACUGUUCUUUUAUUCUCCAUGUUUCUGGAUUGUGUUUAUGUGUUCACGUUCAGUGUUUGUUUUAAGUUAAUUAGAAUGGUUUUACUCAAGUCCCAAAGGUUAGUUAACUAUCUAUCGGACCUGUUUCUGAUUAGCUUUAGAAAACCUUAGCCUUAGUUGAUUAAUCUAUUUAAUUGAAACUAAUUAACAUGAUUUCUAUGUUUUCUUUGCAUAAGCAUUUUGGUUUUUGUUAGUUGUCGUUUGAUUACAAGUUUAAAUGCAAUGUUUGUUUAGGAUUAGUUAGACAAAACAUGUCAAUUAGGUUUAAACCUUAGAAUUGAAACUUAGACUUUAGUUUAAUUUCAGAAAUAAAGGGUAAAUACUCCAAGGCUACAAAUUAAAGCAAGUUUAAGAAACCUUAAUCAUCUAGAUGGUUCUAGAAAGUCCUAAAAAGAUUUCUAGAAUCAGAAUAGGAUCAGAACUGGUUAAAACUGAGAUAAUCUGUAAUUGAAGGGUUAAAAUUGGGUUUUACAUUAGGUAAAAAUGAAAACAUUCUAGAUUUUGCAUAGCUGUCCCCAUUCAUAGCAUGAAAAUACUGGAAUUAGGCUGAAAAAGGACAUACAACGGUCAAAGAUGCUGUACUAUUUUGACAUUUUAGAAUUUAGGUUAAAAUAUUCCAUUUUUGAUGCCAUCUUUGUGCACUCUAUAUAAAGAAAAGCAUUCACUCAUUCUCACACAUUUUUUCAUUCACAGCAUAUCUGCACCUAAACAUUUUUAGAAUACAAGAAGAAAAAAUCCCUAAAAUAUUUCUGGAAAAAAGCACUAGUCUUCGUAGCUAGAUUUUAGGCUGAUUUCUCAAAUAUUUUGAUUUCUGAGAAGUUUUGAGGGAUGUUCCUUUGGUUUUUUGGGCUGAUUUCCUACUGUUGCUGUUUUGGUUUUGGUUACUACUUCAUCUUUAAAUUCUAAUCAGCAGUUCACUUGGUUUUCUUUGCCGGUUUCUUGCUGUUUAGAGAUUUAUUUUCUCUUCUCUUUUCCACUAUUGUCAAGGAACACAUCUUGAGCUCACAUGCUUUAUUUGGGUUCACUUAUGUGACCUUUCAUGUUUUGUAUGUUUGUUAUGAUGUAGUAUUUUAGAUUUCAUAUAGAAGGUUGUAAAUAGUAAACAUUUGGAAUGGAAGUCUAUCUUGACUUUGUAGUUGCCUUCCUAUGUUUCAAUCACUUUAAAGCAUGUUAUAUUGGUUAAGUCCAUCUUGGUAUUAUAGGUUGUUUAUAUUCUAUAAUUAUUUGGUUUGAAAUGUUGAAUGUUAAACCUGUUGUUUCAAAUGCCUCAUUCUGUGUUUAGUUCUUUUAUUUUGAUAUGGAUAUCCAUGAUUUCUUUAGAUGUGUUAAUGUUUCUCUUUACUAAGUAUGUGUUGAACACUUCUACUUAACCUAGUUCUUGUGCGAAUAAAUCAGUUUAAGUGUAGUAGGUAGUAUGAAGUUUAGAAGUUUAAAAUUGUUCAAAUCUAUCCAACUAGUAGACUAAGCCAGUGAAGCUGUCUUAUGUGGAUCUAUGGCUGCAGCGCAAGGGAGCAAGAUAACAAAUGUAUAUAUUUUUUUCCUUUUUUAAUGUCUUAGGCAGAAUUUUUAAAUUAUUUUGAUGCACCCAAGAUUACCCAUGUAAAGAAACUGUG